ACUCAAAUGAAUUGACGGGGACCCGCACAAGCGGUGGAGCAUGUUGUUUAAUUCGACGCAACGCGAAGAACCUUACCUACGCUUGACAUACCAAGUAUGGAUACCAGAGAUGGAAUCCUUCAGUUCGGCUGGCUUGGAUACAGGUGCUGCAUGGCUGUCGUCAGCUCGUGUCGUGAGAUGUUGGGUUAAGUCCCGCAACGAGCGCAACCCUUAUCGUUAGUUGCCAUCAUUCAGUUGGGCACUCUAGUGAGACUGCCGGUGACAAGCCGGAGGAAGGUGGGGACGACGUCAAGUCAUCAUGGCCCUUACGCGUAGGGCUACAAACGUGCUACAAUGGCGGUGACAGUGGGCUCCGAGGCAGCGAUGCCAAGGAAAUCCCAAAAAGCCGUCUCAGUUCGGAUUGUUCUCUGCAACUCGAGAGCAUGAAGUUGGAAUCGCUAGUAAUCGUGGAUCAGCAUGCCACGGUGAAUACGUUCCCGGGUCUUGUACACACCGCCCGU
rnacentral:rRNA from 1 species